rnacentral:rRNA from 1 species
CCUACGGGUGGCAGCAGUAGGGAAUCUUCCACAAUGGGCGAAAGCCUGAUGGAGCAACGCCGCGUGGGUGAAGAAGGUCUUCGGAUCGUAAAACCCUGUUGUUAGAGAAGUAAGUGCGUGAGAGUAACUGUUCACGCUUCGACGGUAUCUAACCAGAAAGCCACGGCUAACUACGUGCCAGCAGCCGCGGAAAUACGUAGGUGGCAAGCGUUAUCCGGUUUUAUUGGGCGUAAAAGGAGCGGAGGUGGUCUUUUAAGUCUGAUGUGAAAGCCUUCGGCUUAACCGGAGUAGUGCAUUGGAGACUGGGAGACUUGAGUGCAGAAGAGGAGAGGGGAACUCCAUGUGUAGCGGUGAAAUGCGUAGAUAUAUGGAGGAACACCAGUGACGAAAGC